rnacentral:rRNA from 1 species
GUAGGUGGCAAGCGUUGUCCGGGAAUUAUUGGGGCGUAAAGCGCGCGCAGGCGGUUCUUUAAGUCUGAUGUGAAAGCCCACGGGCUCAACCGUGGAGGGUCAUUGGAAACUGGAGAACUUGAGUACAGAAGAGGAAAGCGGAAUUCCACGUGUAGCGGUGAAAUGCGUAGAGAUGUGGAGGAACACCAGUGGCGAAGGCGGCUUUCUGGUCUGUAACUGACGCUGAGGCGCGAAAGCGUGGGGAGCAAACAGGAUUAGAUACCCUGGUAGUCCACGCCGUAAACGAUGAGUGCUAAGUGUUAGGGGGUUUCCGCCCCUUAGUGCUGCAGCUAACGCAUUAAGCACUCUGCCUGGGGAGUACGGCCGCAAAGGCUG